rnacentral:lncRNA from 1 species
UUAAGAGAAGGAAAAUUGACGCCGAAGCAUCUUUCGGAGCUUCCGAGGUUAUCUUUCGGAACAUCUUGUGACGAGAGAAGGUAUGACGAGAAAGAGUGAAGAAUGCAAAAGCAGCUAGAUACCACUACGGAUCUUGCACAACUAUUAACAUCAUAUGCUCUUUCUUCGCUCUCUCUCGUCACAAGAUGUUCCGAAAGAUAACCUCGGAAUCUCCGAAAGAUGUUUCGCCGUCAAUUUUCCAUCUCUCAACGAUGACUUUUAUGAAGUCGAAUCUAUUCGUCAAAAGAGGAUCCGAAAGGUUAUUUUUCUCCUUCUCUUCUUUUUUCAUUCCAGGGUUUUUAUUUUUUUAUAUCUUAUAUGUCCUGGAGUAUGAUAAUGAAUUUUAUGUCCAAUUAUUUCUUAUGCUUAACUUUUCUUUUUGUUGAUGGCAAUUAUACAGCGUAAGGUGGAGUAUUUGGUCAAAUGGUGAGUGCCCCUUUUGUUUUUGUUGUUGUUUUAGAGCUAAAUUGUGAUAAACUAAAGGGGAAAGGGCCAAUGUGAUAUAUUUAAUACUAUUUUAUUUCUUUUUUUUAUUUAUUGCCCAAGGUUCGGAUGGGAUGAGACAGAUAACACUUGGGAGCCUCGAGAAAAUUUGGUUAGUUGUGCUGUUGAUCUUGUUGAAGGUUUUGAGAAGUGGUAAUCUCUUAUGCUUCUGUACAAUAUUUAUAUUUUUCUUUACAUACGGUAAUUAGGAGCCAUGAGGAAUGAUAUAUUUCAAUUAUGUAUUUUUGUUGUGUUUUCUAUGAAUAUGAAUGUGUUGUUUAUAAUUAAAUGCUUUCUUACAUCAGAAAAGGAUCGGAAAAGCAUCAGAUUCUCAAACGCAAACAUGAUGACAGGUCUGUCAAUGUUUCAGAAGAGAAUACUGUGAAAGCUUUUGAGAAAGUAAUCCCUUAUUUUUCUAUACAUGGUUUAUAUUUUUUUUAGAUUAUGUAAUUAUGAGUGAGGUCGAAUGACAUAUUUCAAUUUAAUUAACUCAUGUAUAUUUGGUAUUUCCUUCAGACUACUUGUGUAAAAGAUCAGUUUUAAUUCCACAAUUUUAAUGUAUUCCGAUCCAGUUAGACAUGCUCCUAUUGAUAUUCUAGAUAAAUCAAUAUGGGGUGUUAUAAGUAUCUGUUAUUGUAAUUAAGUGUGUUUGAUUAAGCAGUGAUGAUAAUUGGUUUGAUUUUUAUUCUGAAUGAAUUGAUUUGUAAUAUAGACCAGAUACAUUAGUUAUUCAAUGAAUUUGAAAAGUAGAUUUUUGCUUAUAAUU